rfam:Neomicrococcus aestuarii strain B18, complete genome.
GCCGAUCGGUGCAGCUGGGUCUCCAGCCGCUCUGCUAGUGCCUGACCUCACUUCCCCGAGGCCAGGACGAACGCACUGCGGAGGGGGACCCAGUUGCAUCGAAAGCCUCUU